rnacentral:rRNA from 1 species
UACGGAGGGUGCAGGCGUUAAUCGGAAUUACUGGGCGUAAAGGGUUCGUAGGUGGUUAAUUAAGUUAUCUGUGAAAUCCCCGGGCUCAACCUGGGCAGGUCAGAUAAUACUGGUUAACUCGAGUAUGGGAGAGGGUAGUGGAAUUUCCGGUGUAGCGGUGAAAUGCGUAGAGAUCGGAAGGAACACCAGUGGCGAAGGCGGCUACCUGGCCUAAUACUGACACUGAGGAACGAAAGCGUGGGGAGCAAACAGG